UGCCUGUAAGACUGGGAUAACUCCGGGAAACCGGGGCUAAUACCGGAUGGUUGUUUGAACCGCAUGGUUCAAACAUAAAAGGUGGCUUCGGCUACCACUUACAGAUGGACCCGCGGCGCAUUAGCUAGUUGGUGAGGUAACGGCUCACCAAGGCAACGAUGCGUAGCCGACCUGAGAGGGUGAUCGGCCACACUGGGACUGAGACACGGCCCAGACUCCUACGGGAGGCAGCAGUAGGGAAUCUUCCGCAAUGGACGAAAGUCUGACGGAGCAACGCCGCGUGAGUGAUGAAGGUUUUCGGAUCGUAAAGCUCUGUUGUUAGGGAAGAACAAGUACCGUUCGAAUAGGGCGGUACCUUGACGGUACCUAACCAGAAAGCCACGGCUAACUACGUGCCAGCAGCCGCGGUAAUACGUAGGUGGCAAGCGUUGUCCGGAAUUAUUGGGCGUAAAGGGCUCGCAGGCGGUUUCUUAAGUCUGAUGUGAAAGCCCCCGGCUCAACCGGGGAGGGUCAUUGGAAACUGGGGAACUUGAGUGCAGAAGAGGAGAGUGGAAUUCCACGUGUAGCGGUGAAAUGCGUAGAGAUGUGGAGGAACACCAGUGGCGAAGGCGACUCUCUGGUCUGUAACUGACGCUGANGANCGAAAGCGUGGGGAGCGAACAGGAUUAGAUACCCUGGUAGUCCACGCCGNAAACGAUGAGUGCUAAGUG
rnacentral:rRNA from 1 species